CGGGAUGUAGCGCAAUUUGGUAGCGCACCUGUUUUGGGUACAGGGGGUUGCAGGUUCAAAUCCUGUCAUCCCGACCA
rnacentral:tRNA from 2 species